GAUACAUAAAACAACAAAAGCCCUUCCUGCUCUUUCGUCCUUGCGGCUCCGAUGACCGCUCCAGUGUGAUUUGAUCUAAAACUAU
rnacentral:sRNA from 1 species